GGACUCUGUCUUCUUUGACUUGGAAAUCUUCUCUGGUUCAUUUCCUCUGUUGAGUCCAUCAAGGUCAGAAAUUGAAGUCUAAUUCUAAUCGAAAACAACACUGACACUGUUUUUUCAUGUUUAAUACUGUAAAGCUGUUUGGUUUAAAAAUAUAUAUUGUAUAAAGUGCUAUAUAAAUAAACAUGACGUGACUUUGUGCCGAACUGCAGAGCUCAUGCAAACGUAUCCAUGACUAUGUUCAGAUACUUUCUUAACUGCUGUUUUCUCACUGCUGUCAUUUUGUUGUUUAUUUUGUUAUUGAGAGUAAAGCGCAGAGCACAUAUUAGUGGUUCUUAGACUUUGCCAAACAAAUUCAUUACGAAAAAGCCAUGUUUUUUCCCAUCUUAUUGUGUUAUCUCUGUGUUCUUAGAGAUAGAGAUCCUGUUUGUUCCCCUUUCAAAGCAUCUAUCCUUUUAGCUGGUCAACUACAGUGGGACAAAUGAAGGGCAUCCAGUGGUCUGGCAGAGCUUUGAUCAGCACUGUUUCUUCCAGGAACAAUAUUGCUAUCUUGCUGUGGAUUCCUCAUAUUGAGUCCGUACUGCAACCCAUCCAACCAGAGAUUGACUCUUGAUGUUGAAUCAUGAUAUGUCAAAGAGUAUUGAUUCAGACACAUACAGCAAUUCCCCCUCCGCACUUCAAUCGCUGCCCGGGGGGCAAAAACAGAAGGAGACUCGUGAAGUAUAUCUUGACCUACUGCCAUCUCUUCACAAGAGUUCAUCAGUACAAUGCCUUACUCUUGGGCAAUCCAGAUGGGACAGGAAUGGGAGGGCACUACUCUGCACCUUAGGUUGUGAUAAUUGAAGCGACAGCAGGGGCCUCGGGAAUGUUGCUUGACACCUGCAUAGUUUCAAGAGGGAUGUAAUUUGCCUUUGAACAUGGCAGGCGGAACAUCAUUUGCACAAGUCAGCCGUGAUGCCAAGAGCCUCUUACCUUUUCUUCCUCAGUGGAUUAGUGGUUUUAAUUAACCCCCUGGCACCCUUUGCGUCCCUACCACAUGGGCAGGAAGGUUUUACAGACCUAACGUAUGCCACAAUGCCGCUCCAGCAUAACAGCUUGUAGAGGAAGCUACUAUGAAACUGUAGCUUAUAAAACUACAAGGUACUGAUCAUUUAAAGUAGAUCAAGCUAUACUUUAAAAAAAAUUAAGUUAGCAACAAUGUGUUUCUAACAAAAAGGGCUAACAAAAACUGUUUUCAUUUCGAUAAGAAAUGUUUCUUGACCACCAAAUCAGCAUACUAGAAUGAUUUCUGAAGGAUCACGUGACACUGAAGACUUGAGUAAUGACUGUUGAAAAUCCAGCUUUGCUUUCACAGGAA
rnacentral:lncRNA from 1 species